ACAAAUGUAGGGAAGGGGAUUUAGAGAAUAUUAAAAUAUAUCAAAACAUCUAGAAAAAGGAUUCCUCUUAUGUUAGGGUGGGCUAAAAAGAAGUAAACAAGAAGAAGGUUUUAAAUUUAUUAUCCCAACGACAAAUUCCAGGAAGCUUUCAAAUCAAAUUGCCCCAUUUUGAGUUUUUAACUUCUUCUAUCAAGUUUAACCUCUUUACCUCUUGCAUUCUAGUAAACUCUGUCCCUUCCCUGCCGCCCCCUUUGCUGGUGAUUAAAUCCUAUAGAUACACGAAGUAUUUUGGUGAAUGAAUGGGCAACAGAAAAGAGCCCUUUCCUCCCCCCAGCUGUGUUUUUCAGUUUUAUUUCACGUUCCGCCCUUUUCCCUUAAUGAACACAGGGCUAAUCUUGGGCCUUGUCGAAGGAAGAGGCUGCAGACGUUAAUGAGGGAGCUGCUGGAUUCCAAUAUUCCUCUCAUAAGGAGCUGCCUUUGUCUGAGAAGGAAAAACACACUGAUUAUCAUAAUGAGGUGAACUGGCCACUGCAGGGCAGGGGCUACACGGGCGCUUAAGCCACACUUCUAAUUUUGGUGCCAGAGCUGACAGUCUUUUGCUCCUCAUUUAAGUCUCUGCCUCUGUCUCAGCUCAGAGUCCAUUGAGGGGGGCUGGAAGUUGAAGUCAGCUUGGGACACAGGGCUGCAGCUAGGGUUGCAUUGUAGAAAGUUUCUUUGUUUGACCCGCCAUGCAGAUGCAACUGGCCCGGGUAUUCAUUCCCUCUUUCCAAGAGCUGAAGGUCAGGGGUUCCACUAGUGAUCAGUUCCCAGCUCUAGUGCACUCAUCUGCCUUGUUUCAGGGCCCACUGAGAACAUCCUAAACUUAAGAUGAAAUGGUUGUAGGUAGAGAAGCAGUGGCAUGGUUGCAAAGUGAAUAUCCAAGGAGUGCCCUGCCCAGGUUACAAAGUAGGUAGAUCUUGGCACCCCAAAGGCCUCCUGUGAAAGGGUAUGGUUUGGGGUUCAGAUGUAGCAUAGUAAUGAGAUUGGAGCUCAGGGGGCAGUAAUUUGUCAGGAACAAUCAGCCAAGGGGGAGAUUAAAACAAGCAACAAGACUUGUACUUAGUCUUUCCCUCAUGUGUCCCACACCUUGCCUAAAUUCUGAUCCUUUUUUUUUUUUUUUUUCCUGAUUCUUGAACUCUCUGAGCCCAGUAAAUCUUUAGAGCAGGUGUGUCCCGAGUCUGCAACUUGGCCUUAUUUGUUCCAAGCUCUGGACAGCUCUUACCCCAAGGCAGAUCAAUCAAGAUUAGAUCACUCCAAUUAAACUUUAGGCUCUAGCCAGACCUUUAGCCAAAUGGAAAAAAACAAGGGGAGAAGGGAGGUAUUUGGAACAAGAAAAUGUUAUUAGUUAAAACCUUAAGGGGCCUCCCUCCCUGAUGAAUCUGUUGGCUAAAGGUUCUCUGGCAUCACUGAUCAGAAUUGGAUGUUCUUUCCGAGUUAACAAAACCAACUUUAUCCCAGCACCCCAAUAAAGAGUGUCAAAGGAUGUCCAACUGGCUGGGGCAGAGGCCUGAAGUCACCCCCAACCCCUUGUGUGGAGGUGAGACAAUGUGCCAAGGACUGAGAUGUUGGGACUAUGGCUGGGACAAGGGUGCAGACCUUUGAAACUGGACAUCACUAGAGAACCUAUCCUUCUCUCUAGGCAGUUACAGGAACAUAGGAAAAUGGAAUAGUUCUGAUGUUUCCAAGUGAGAGAAAUUAGCCUCAAGACCCUCUUCAUCUUAAAAUACAUGUCAAUAAUUAAUAUAGGUCCAAAGGCCCCUAUUAAUGUCCUAAUAGCCCCCUGGACAUUUGAGAAUGUAGGGUAGGUGUGGAUUGACUGUAAUCAGCCAGGAUCUUCCAGUAUCUUCAGGGUUUUGUGCUUGAGGCUCCUAGAACCCAACAUGCUUAUAUGCUGAAACUGCCAACUUGCAUUCCACACCUGUGUGGGUGUCUUAAACUUUUCUGAGGCCACUAGCAGAGGGGUCAUUGAGUGUAGGAAUGAGGGGGAUAGCUUGCAGUCCCUGUGCAUAGGGCCUUGCCCCUACCUCUGUUUUUCCAGUUCAGGGUCUUGACUGCUUCCUUGGUUUGUCUACUGACCCUCAGAGCCCACUGGUCUCUUAAACAUCCAUCAAGAAGCCUUUGGAGGUGCAGGAGAGUAGGGUAUAUACAGCAGAAACCAGAUGGGAGAGGACUGUGGCCUGGAAACUUACCCAUCACUUGAUUCUUCCAGGAGUUACUGUUCUGCACUUGCUGCUUUCUCCCUCUACCUCUUCUGCUCUCUUCCUCUCCAUCUCUUUCUCCUUCAUUCUCUCCAGUUCCCAGUUAGGCCCUCUUGGGGUGCCCUAGGCCAACCCUGCCCCUCCUCUGAGUGUCCCAGUGCCAGCCUGGCACAAAGUGGGGCUCUGUAAGAGUAUGUGGGAUGUCAGUUUGGACAGGUAAGUGAACUGCAAGGACUCGACUGCUAUUCCCAAGCAGCUAGGUGGGCAGUUGGGAGCUCUAGGUUAAGGGGUGGAGGGAGUGGGUAGCUUCUCACCCAGCCCCUUUUGGAUGGGGGCCUUACUGGUUGCGUCCCUGCGUUCACCUGCGCGUCUAUUCCGUCAUCCAACAGUUGAUCCUUACUGAGCAUUCCCACAGCUCUGGCUCCAGCCUGGGCACCUGCCACUCUAGCCUGUCCCUUGAUGGCCUCUGCUUUCCCAGGAGGGUGGGCUGGGGGGUUGCUUAAGCCAGGGGCAGCCUCAUGGUUGUGUAGGUGCCAGAACAGGGGACUCCUGCUCUGUAGAGGGCAGGCUAGAGGGUGUGAAGGGCAGUCCUUCGGGCUCUGCUCCUGGUCAGAGCCAGCCCCUCCUCCCCUAGGUGCUCCCCACCCUAUUCCCCUAGCUGCACUGUCCUGGACCCCUUGCCCUGAAGCUAUCAGGACUGAGGUGUGUGCAGGGGAAUAGCAGUUAUAUAUGUCCAUAGGCUUUGGUCACACGGGUCUCCCUCUUGAGGUGGGGUCUGUGACUUGGACCUUUCCUUCCUGUAAUUCCUUCCUCCCCCUGGGGCUAAAUUCAACUCCUUUGCCUUUUGGUUGCUGGCUGGGGCCAGUGUCCCAUGCAAAAGAUCAUGGGCUGGGGACCUCCAGGGAGCAUGUGCAGGCUUUCUCUCUGACUGGCCCUUCUGUUCUGCUGUACCUGGUGGUGCCUCCCCUGGUCCUCUAGUGGCCACAUUCAUUACCCAUCUGGACUCUGCUUGUUGCCUCUCCAUAUUAUGUGGGCUGACCCACCUCUUUCUCUGCCUGGAGCCCUGGGUUCAUGACCCCCUGGGGUUGCUUGCCCAGCCCUGUGCCUAGUGGGAGGGUCUUCCUUGCCCAGUUCACACCUAUGGUUUUGUGGCCCUUCCCCUGGGUCUGAGCUCCCCUCCCCAGCCCAAAGAGUUAGUCUGCCCAGUGUAGUCUGUUUCCAACAGGUUCCUUGUGUUCAUGGGACAAGCCUGACUGGUGUCUCCAUCUCCUGCCAAUCGUCCUCAAAUGCCUCCUCCUGUGGGCCUGCUCUGGGGUCUGAGUAGCUGUGGGCUGUAACCAGAUUUACAUCCUGCCCCUCUGGCCUGGGAACUCUGGCAGUUGUGCCCUGGUGGGUAUUGCCCCUGGCCUGCCUCUAUUGUCACUAUGUCCCCAAGAAUCCUGAGCUUUGUCCUGGCCAGGUGUUUUGCUGACUCCUCUGUUCAGUUUGGGGGCAUCACUUAGGCUUCUCUUCUUGUACUUUCUCUUGUUAUUGCACAUACCACAUGAGCCAUUCAUUCCAACACAAAGCAAACUGCAGGCUGGCUUCAUCCUCGGCAUGUAAGCCAUGAUUUGGCUGGAUCAACUCAAGACCUGCGGAUAGAAGCGGCAGAAGAGCUCUCCUCUGGAGGCCCUGCACCCCAGACCUGCCCAUCUUCCUGCUUGCCUCUAGCUGCUUCCUGGUUUGGGCUGAAGCCAUCACCUGGAAUCCUACAUGGAAAGGGACCUUGGACAUGGGACCCCAGCACUCUUCAGCUCUAAAUCGGCAGACUAGGAUGGAAGUGCCCUGUGAGCUGGAGAGCACAGGCCGAAGGACCAACCUCUCAAAUGGGCUUCAAACUCCAGUGACCUUCACUUACCCCCUUGAAAUGUCUGGAAAACAUAACGGGCAGAUUUUCUGCCUUCAAAGUUUCCGGCUAAAUCUCUUCAAGUUCUUUAUUGUUUGGGACUGGGACACUCAGUGAUGCUAAUGGGUUAUUUCUUUUGUAUUUGCCUUGAAAGGCCAAAAUAUUUUUAUACUGCAAUAGACAAAGCCACCUAUUUAAAAAUGAACUCCAUGUCCGUCGUUUCCCAUUGAGAGACUAUGUACCAUGUAUGUUUUUAUGUAUUCUGGGGUCUUGAAACAGGUUUCUCAUGGGGAUGGCCAUUCACCAGGGUCCAGAGGGGCAGAGCUUGAAGUGUCUGCCCUGCCAAGGGGUCUUGGGGAAUGUGGGCCCUAAUCUUAGACCUGCCCGCAGUAUGUCUAAAAUGUGAGCUGGGGAAGAUCUGAUAGUAAAAUAACACUUCCUGUGUC